AUUGGCCUACGGGGCGCAGCAGUGAGGAAUAUUGGUCAAUGGUCGGGAGACUGAACCAGCCAAGCCGCGUGAGGGGUGAAGGUACAGAGUAUCGUAAACCUCUUUUGUCAGGGAACAAAGGCGGGGACGUGUCCCCGGAUGAGUGUACCUGAAGAAAAAGCAUCGGCUAACUCCGUGCCAGCAGCCGCGGUAAUACGGAGGAUGCGAGCCUUAUCCGGAUUUAUUGGGCUUAAAGGGUGCGCAGGCGGUCUGUUAAGUCAGCGGUCAAAGCCCGGGGCCCAACCCCGGCCCGCCGCUG
rnacentral:rRNA from 1 species